UACGGGGGGGGGCAAGCGUCGUUCGGAAUUACUGGGCGUAAAGGGCGCGUAGGCGGCCUACUAAGUCGGACGUGAAAUCCCUCGGCUCAACCGGGGAACUGCGUCCGAUACUGGUGGGCUCGAAUCCGGGAGAGGGAUGUGGAAUUCCAGGUGUAGCGGUGAAAUGCGUAGAUAUCUAGAGGAACACCGGUGGCGAAGGCGGCAUCCUGGACCGGUAUUGACGCUGAUGCGCGAAAGCCAGGGGAGCAAACGGG
rnacentral:rRNA from 1 species